rnacentral:rRNA from 1 species
GGCUCAGGAUGAACGCUAGCGGCAGGCUUAACACAUGCAAGUCGAGGGGUAGGAAUAGCUUGCUAUUUUGAGACCGGCGCACGGGUGCGUAACGCGUAUGCAAUCUGCCUUUUACAAAGGGAUAGCCAAGAGAAAUUUGGAUUAAUACCUUAUAGCAUUACAGGAUGGCAUCAUCCUGUGAUUAAAGAUUUAUCGGUAAAAGAUGAGCAUGCGUCCCAUUAGCUAGUUGGUAAGGUAACGGCUUACCAAGGCUAUGAUGGGUAGGGGUCCUGAGAGGGAGAUCCCCCACACUGGUACUGAGACACGGACCAGACUCCUACGGGAGGCAGCAGUGAGGAAUAUUGGACAAUGAGCGCAAGCCUGAUCCAGCCAUGCCGCGUGCAGGAUGAAGCAUCUAUGGUGUGUAAACUGCUUUUAUACGGGAAGAAACCCUGGGACGUGUCCCAGACUGACGGUACCGUAGGAAUAAGGAUCGGCUAACUCCGUG